AGUGCAAAAACAUCGAAGAAAGCGAUUGGCUAAAAUGACAACCUCGGAAAUCAUCGCAAGUUUUGUUUACAAACAGCCUGAGCUGCUACGACGGCUACGACCGACGAGUGAGCUCUGAAAAAGUUUUUUUUUGGGAAAUUUUCAAUUCUAUUUUAUUAUUUGUCAGCGUUAUCAGUAAUUGCAAGAUGGUACACCUGGUGGCAGUCUUGAAGCGAAUACAGCAGGUUGAAAAUCCAUCCAAGUGGUGGUACAACCUGGAGGGGGUGGAGUUUGCGCUUUCUGAUGGUGGAGAUCACAAGGUAACACAAAAGUAUGACAACUUGCAGUCGAUGGAAAUGCUAAAAGAGAAGAUAGCAUAAUCAUGGUCGGCGCGUUGUCUCGGAGAAGACGGUAGAAUGCAGCACGGUGGAGUAACAGCCGGGAGAAGUUGGACGUGCUGAAGGAACAGAACGAUAUCAUCCAGAAUCGGUCGAAGAUUGAGGCGGAAAUCGAGAGGAACAUUGAUCGCCAUCUUCGGGACAUUGAGGCCAAGAUGGUCGUUUUUGGGAGGUCAAAGAGUAGAAGCUAGGAACAGCUGUGCGACAAGAAGCGACAGAUGCCUUGGUCAGGCGCAAAAAAAAACGUAGCAAGUCUGGUGUUGACCGAGUAGCGGAUGAGUCUGAGACGUCCUCGCGGGAUAACCUGUCCGCAAUCGAUGGUUGCUGCAUCCGUGUCAAAUAAUAAUUACAGCGCUUUCAGGCCAACUCGAA